GAUGAACGCUGGCGGCGUGCCUAAUACAUGCAAGUCGAGCGAACGGACUAGAAGCUUGCUUCUCUGAUGUUAGCGGCGGACGGGUGAGUAACACGUGGAUAACCUACCUAUAAGACUGGGAUAACUUCGGGAAACCGGAGCUAAUUCCGGAUAAUAUUUUGAACCGCAUGGUUCAAAAGUGAAAGACGGUCUUGCUGUCACUUAUAGAUGGAUCCGCGCUGCAUUAGCUAGUUGGUAAGGUAACGGCUUACCAAGGCAACGAUGCAUAGCCGACCUGAGAGGGUGAUCGGCCACACUGGAACUGAGACACGGUCCAGACUCCUACGGGAGGCAGCAGUAGGGAAUCUUCCGCAAUGGGCGAAAGCCUGACGGAGCAACGCCGCGUGAGUGAUGAAGGUCUUCGGAUCGUAAAACUCUGUUAUUAGGGAAGAACAGAUGUGUAAGUAACUGUGCACAUCUUGACGGUACCUAAUCAGAAAGCCACGGCUAACUACGUG
rnacentral:rRNA from 1 species